rnacentral:lncRNA from 1 species
CUGGUCAUGAAGAUCAGCCAGAAUGCAAACAAAUACAGCUAGAUAUCAAAUCUAUAAUAAAGGAUAUUUCAGCCUUGACUCUUACUGAAGUUAGUUUGGAUAUGCCAAAAGCUGAUAUUCCUUCAGGAAAUAGUGAACCUUCUACAUCUGCAAAUCCUGAAGACAAAUGGGAAGAUAAAAUUGAACAAGAUAAUUUCCAUAUUCAUUGAAGUACAGUGCAGCACGAUUUUGUACUUGGAAAAGAAGCACUUGGACAAAAGACAGAAGCUUUUUUAUUUUCAAAGCAUUUCACAGUUGACAUCCAGAAGACCAAAGCAAGCAGAAUGAAAAAGCAACCAAAAUGGGUCGGUGUGUGAAAGAGGGAACUUCGCUGUUGGUCCUCCUCAAACAACAAGAUGGGCAGCACCUGAAUGAAAUAAUAAAAUGUACAGAUGC